rnacentral:rRNA from 1 species
UCGAGAAUUUUUCUCAAUGGGGGAAACCCUGAAGGAGCGACGCCGCGUGAAGGAUGAAGGUCUUCGGAUUGUAAACUUCUGUCAUUUGAGAACAAUGUGCAUUUAUUAACUGUAGAUGCAUUGAUAGUAUCAGAAGAGGAAGAGACGGCUAACUCUGUGCCAGCAGCCGCGGUAAUACAGAGGUCUCGAGCGUUGUUCGGAUUCAUUGGGCGUAAAGGGUGCGUAGGUGGCUAGGUAAGUCGGAUGUGAAAUCCCGGGGCUCAACCCCGGAACUGCAUUCGAUACUGCUUGGCUUGAGUACUGGAGAGGAGAUUGGAAUUUACGGUGUAGCAGUGAAAUGCGUAGAUAUCGUAAGGAAGACCAGUGGCGAAGGCGGAUCUCUGGACAGUUACUGACACUGAGGCACGAAGGCCAGGGGAGCAAACGGG